rnacentral:rRNA from 2 species
GCUAGACGACGCUGGCGGCGUGCCUAAUACAUGCAAGUCGAACGAACUCUGGUAUUGAUUGGUGCUUGCAUCAUGAUUUACAUUUGAGUGAGUGGCGAACUGGUGAGUAACACGUGGGAAACCUGCCCAGAAGCGGGGGAUAACACCUGGAAACAGAUGCUAAUACCGCAUAACAACUUGGACCGCAUGGUCCGAGUUUGAAAGAUGGCUUCGGCUAUCACUUUUGGAUGGUCCCGCGGCGUAUUAGCUAGAUGGUGGGGUAACGGCUCACCAUGGCAAUGAUACGUAGCCGACCUGAGAGGGUAAUCGGCCACAUUGGGACUGAGACACGGCCCAAACUCCUACGGGAGGCAGCAGUAGGGAAUCUUCCACAAUGGACGAAAGUCUGAUGGAGCAACGCCGCGUGAGUGAAGAAGGGUUUCGGCUCGUAAAACUCUGUUGUUAAAGAAGAACAUAUCUGAGAGUAACUGUUCAGGUAUUGACGGUAUUUAACCAGAAAGCCACGGCUAACUACGUGCCAGCAGCCGCGGUAAUACGUAGGUGGCAAGCGUUGUCCGGAUUUAUUGGGCGUAAAGCGAGCGCAGGCGGUUUUUUAAGUCUGAUGUGAAAGCCUUUCGGCUCAACCGAAGAAGUGCAUCGGAAACUGGGAAACUUGAGUGCAGAAGAGGACAGUGGAACUCCAUGUGUAGCGGUGAAAUGCGUAGAUAUAUGGAAGAACACCAGUGGCGAAGGCGGCUGUCUGGUCUGUAACUGACGCUGAGGCUCGAAAGUAUGGGUAGCAAACAGGAUUAGAUACCCUGGUAGUCCAUACCGUAAACGAUGAAUGCUAAGUGUUGGAGGGUUUCCGCCCUUCAGUGCUGCAGCUAACGCAUUAAGCAUUCCGCCUGGGGAGUACGGCCGCAAGGCUGAAACUCAAAGGAAUUGACGGGGGCCCGCACAAGCGGUGGAGCAUGUGGUUUAAUUCGAAGCUACGCGAAGAACCUUACCAGGUCUUGACAUACUAUGCAAAUCUAAGAGAUUAGACGUUCCCUUCGGGGACAUGGAUACAGGUGGUGCAUGGUUGUCGUCAGCUCGUGUCGUGAGAUGUUGGGUUAAGUCCCGCAACGAGCGCAACCCUUAUUAUCAGUUGCCAGCAUUAAGUUGGGCACUCUGGUGAGACUGCCGGUGACAAACCGGAGGAAGGUGGGGAUGACGUCAAAUCAUCAUGCCCCUUAUGACCUGGGCUACACACGUGCUACAAUGGAUGGUACAACGAGUUGCGAACUCGCGAGAGUAAGCUAAUCUCUUAAAGCCAUUCUCAGUUCGGAUUGUAGGCUGCAACUCGCCUACAUGAAGUCGGAAUCGCUAGUAAUCGCGGAUCAGCAUGCCGCGGUGAAUACGUUCCCGGGCCUUGUACACACCGCCCGUCACACCAUGAGAGUUUGUAACACCCAAAGUCGGUGGGGUAACCUUUUAGGAACCAGCCGCCUAAGGUGGGACAGAUGAUUAGGGGAAGUCGAA